rnacentral:rRNA from 1 species
CUCAGUUCGGAUUGGAGGCUGAAACCCGCCUCCAUGAAGUUGGAUUCGCUAGUAAUCGCGGAUCAGCAUGCCUCGGUGAAUACGUUCCCGGGCCUUGUACACACCGCCCGUCACACCAUGGGAGUUUGUAACGCCCAAAGUCGGUGGCCUAACCUUUAUGGAGGGAGCCGCCUAAGGCGGGACAGAUGACUGGGGUGAAGUCGUAACAAGGUACC